rnacentral:rRNA from 1 species
GACGAACGCUGGCGGCGUGCCUAAUACAUGCAAGUUGAGCGCUGAAGGUUGGUACUUGUACCAACUGGAUGAGCAGCGAACGGGUGAGUAACGCGUGGGGAAUCUGCCUUUGAGCGGGGGACAACAUUUGGAAACGAAUGCUAAUACCGCAUAAAAACUUUAAACACAAGUUUUAAGUUUGAAAGAUGCAAUUGCAUCACUCAAAGAUGAUCCCGCGUUGUAUUAGCUAGUUGGUGAGGUAAAGGCUCACCAAGGCGAUGAUACAUAGCCGACCUGAGAGGGUGAUCGGCCAAAUUGGGACUGGGACACGGCCCAAACUCCUACGGGAGGCAGCAGUAGGGAAUCUUCGGCAAUGGAAGAAAGUCUGAACGAGCAACGCCGCGUGAGUGAAGAAGGUUUUCGGAUCGUAAAACUCUGUUGGUAGAGAAGAACGUUGGUGAGAGUGGAAAGCUCAUCAAGUGACGGUAACUACCCAGAAAGGGACGGCUAACUACGUG